UGAAUACAAGACGCUAAGGCGUCGAAGUAGUGUAUGUCAUACUUCCAAGAAAAGCUUGCACUGUCAUAGAUAAAAAACGCCUGUACCAUAACCGACACAGGUGGGUAGGUAGAGUAUACUAAGGGGCGCGAGAUAACUCUCUCUAAGGAACUCGGCAAAAUAACUCCGUAACUUCGGGAGAAGGAGUGCCUUAUUCUUAAGGUUGCAAUAACAAGAUCCAAGCAACUGUUUAUCAAAAACACAGGUCUCCGCUAAGUCGUAAGACGAUGUAUGGGGGCUGACGCCUGCCCAGUGCCAGAAGGUUAAAGAAGCUGGUUAGCAUUUGCGAAGCUAGUAACUGAAGCCCUGGUGAACGGCGGCCGUAACAAUAACGGUCCUAAGGUAGCGAAAUUCCUUGUCGGGUAAGUUCCGACCCGCACGAAAGGCGUAACGAUUUGGAUACUGUCUCGGAGAGGGGCUCGGUGAAAUAGACUUGUCUGUGAAGAUGCGGACUACCUGCACCAGGACAGAAAGACCCUAUGAAGCUUUACUGUAACUUGAAAUUGAAAUUGGACUUUAUUCGCGCAGUAUAGGUGGGAGGCGUUGAUUAUAAUCUUGCGGGAUUGUUGGAGCCAUUAGUGAGAUACCACUCUUGUAAUGUUAGAUUUCUAACUUUGAAUCAUUAUCUGGUCAAAGAACAGUUUCAGGCGGGCAGUUUGACUGGGGCGGUCGCCUCCUAAACGGUAACGGAGGCGUACAAAGGUUUCCUCUGAACGGUUAGAAAUCGUAUCUAGAGUGUAAAGGCAUAAGGAAGCUUGACUGUGAGACCUACAAGUCGAGCAGGGACGAAAGUCGGUCUUAGUGAUCUGACGGUACUGAGUGGAAAGGCCGUCACUCAACGGAUAAAAGUUACUCUAAGGAUAACAGGCUGAUCUCCCCCAAGAGUUCACAUCGGCGGGGAGGUUUGGCACCUCGAUGUCGGCUCAUCGCAUCCUGGGGCGGUAGUACGUCCCAAGGGUUGGGCUGUUCGCCCAUGAAAGCGGUACGCGAGCUGGGUUCAGAACGUCGUGAGACAGUUCGGUCCAUAUCCGUGUAGGCGUUAGAAUAUUGAGAGGAGCCUUCUUUAGUACGAGAGGACCGAGAAGGACAUACCUCUGGUGUACCAGUUAUCGUGCCAACGGUAAACGCUGGGUAGCUAUGUAUGGAGUGGAUAACCGCUGAAAGCAUCUAAGUGGGAAGCCCACCUCAAGAUAAGUAUUCUCAUC
rnacentral:rRNA from 1 species